rnacentral:rRNA from 1 species
AUUGAACGCUGGCGGAAUGCUUUACACAUGCAAGUCGAGCGGCAGCACGGGGCAACCUGGUGGCGAGCGGCGAACGGGUGAGUAAUGUAUCGGAACGUGUCCUGAGAUGGGGGAUAGCCCGGUGAAAACCGGAUUAAUACCGCAUACGAUCGAGAGAUGAAAGUGGGGGACCGCAAGGCCUCAUGUCUUAGGAGCGGCCGAUAUCAGAUUAGCUAGUUGGUGAGGUAAAGGCUCACCAAGGCUCCGAUCUGUAGCUGGUCUGAGAGGAUGAUCAGCCACACUGGGACUGAGACACGGCCCAGACUCCUACGGGAGGCAGCAGUGGGGAAUUUUGGACAAUGGGGGCAACCCUGAUCCAGCCAUUCCGCGUGAGUGAAGAAGGCCUUCGGGUUGUAAAGCUCUUUUGUCCGGGAAGAAACGGUUUGGGUUAAUAACCCAGACUACUGACGGUACCGGAAGAAUAAGGACCGGCUAACUACGUGCCAGCAGCCGCGGUAAUACGUAGGGUCCAAGCGUUAAUCGGAAUUACUGGGCGUAAAGCGUGCGCAGGCGGUUUUAUAAGCCAGAUGUGAAAUCCCCGGGCUUAACCUGGGAAUGGCAUUUGGGACUGUAAGGCUAGAGUACGGCAGAGGGGACUAGAAU